rnacentral:tRNA from 1 species
GCGGUUAUGGUGGAAUGGUAUACACGCUAUCUUGAGGUGGUAGUGGCAACAGCUGUGCGAGUUCAAAUCUCGCUAACCGCACCA